UCGGCUUGGUGUUGGGAACAGCACUCUCUCCAUAGUCAGUGUGACACGUUACGAUGAAGGGCCGUUCAGAUGUGAGGUCAUCAAUGGAAUCAGCAAUGGCACCAGCCAGCCCAUUGGCCUCAAUGUUAGAUUCCAGUCAAGGUGUCUAACGAUGGAAACUAUCAGUGCGUCGCCACCAACCUCUUUGGUCCAAACACCAGCCCUAAAUACCAGCUACUGGUGAACUGUAAGUACUGGUGUUGGAAUCUGUUGGUAAAAUAUUUUAAAAGAUAAGCAUUUGAUGUUAUAUUAUGUAGAAAGUCAGAAACCCACCACUAUUAUGACAGUUAGUGCUAUCUGGGUUCUUUGGGACAUCCCUACCCUAAAUCUUAACCUUAACCAUAACACUUACCUAACCCAAACCUUAACCCUUACCUGAAUCAUUUUAUAUUUCAACUUCAAUGGGGUGAUGUCAGAGUUGGAUGUCCCUAGGAUUAUGACCCCACUUCCCUGAACCUCUCUCUGUAGAUGGCCCUCUGAGUGUGAACAUCUCUGGCCCAGGAUUAGUGGUGAUUGGCUCAGUAAUUACUGCCAAUCUGAAGUGCUCAGCCGACUCCCGGCCGACCAGUGAGUACUGGUGGAAAUUCAUCAACCAAUCAUUGCCGGCGACUGGUUCUUUGAUGGCUGUAGGCCAAGAACCGUCUAACUAACAUCUCAAUGUCCAAGACCAUUAGUCUGGAUGUUACUGGUAAGUGGGUAGGUUGUUAUAGUAAGACCUAGGUGGUAUAUAAUGAGUAAUACAUUUCACAAUAUUGUUUGUAUUAUGUAGAAUUUGGUUCUAGUUUGCGUACGUGUUUGUGCAAGGAUAAUUUUCAUGCAUCCGGAAAAUGCAAUACAGACAUUUUCUGAACUGGGGGGUACAGACAGGAAUCAAGAAGAUGUAUACACUGUAUAUUUAUUUUAACAUCCUCACUCACUCAUUUUCCUUCCCUGCUUCCCCUCCUCUCCAUUCUCUCUCCAUUCCAUUCUUUGUCCCCCUCCUCUCCCAUUAUCUUUGUCCUCCUCUUAUCCCAUUCUUUGUCCCCCUCCUCUCCCAUUUAUCUUUGUCCUCCUCUUCUCCCAUUCUUUGUACCCCUCCUCUCACAUUCUCUUUGUCCCCCUCCUCUCCCAUUCUCUUUGUCCCCCUCCUCUCCCAUUCUCUUUGUCCUCCUCCUCUCCCAUUCUCUUUGUCCCCCUCCUCUCCCGACCUCUUUGUUUCCCCUCUCUCAGGCCAUUCACCUGUCCCCCCAUUCCAGUCCAGAGGUGGUCUGAUGUUGAUGGGCCUUGUAGCUCUCUCUCUCUGCCUCUGAUCAACCACUGAGACAACCACAGUUUGCACACUGCACGUCUGUUGGUUGGCAGCCAAUCACUCCCUUCCCUCUACCCUCACUGACUCCCCUCGCAGAUCUGAAAAAGGACUGGAUAGGAAUACGUGGUAUUGUCAAUACUGUAAUUGCCCCAUCUUGUCACCAUAGGGCUGGAUUUAGUAUGCUCAGCACCUUUCCAAUGAUUUUAGAUUGUGAAGAGAGUGUCCACAAGAGGUCAGAUGGGAGGGAUCUAUCCCCUUAGAAUAGAACCCACCUCUACAGUGUGUUUUUAUGUCAAUCAUCUCUAUAAACUGAUAUUCUUUUUAAAAACAAAAAUCUUGAAAACUGGUCUUCAACAUGGUAAUUGAAGGGGCAAACAUCCACUGCUCAGCUGCGUUGCCAAUUCUGUUUUGAAUUCAAUGUUCUUAGAUAUUCACUGCCCUUAUGACUGUGACUAUUGCCCUGAAGUCCAUUCACUGAGUGCCUUUCUGUGUUCUGCGUUUGAUCAUGUUUGUAAACUCUGUAGUUCAAGUACAAAUUCAGGUUUAAUUACCUUAUAAAUACCUUAAAGGUAAAAUGUUUCAAAACGAUAAUACAUUAAACUGGU